rnacentral:rRNA from 1 species
AUUGAACGCUGGCGGCAUGCCUUACACAUGCAAGUCGAACGGUAACGCGGGGCAACCUGGCGACGAGUGGCGAACGGGUGAGUAAUGUAGCGGAACGUGCCCAGUUGUGGGGGAUAACUGCCCGAAAGAGCAGCUAAUACCGCAUACGACCUGAGGGUGAAAGCGGGGGAUCGCAAGACCUCGCGCAAUUGGAGCGGCCGAUAUCAGCUAAGGUAGUUGGUGGGGUAAAGCCUCACCAAGCCAACGAUCUGUAGCUGGUCUGAGAGGACGACCAGCCACACUGGGACUGAGACACGGCCCAGACUCCUACGGGAGGAAGCAGUGGGGAAUUUUGGACAAUGGACGCAAGUCUGAUCCAGCCAUGCCGCGUGCGGGAAGAAGGCCUUCGGGUUGUAAACCGCUUUUGUCAGGGAAGAAACGCUCUGGGUUAAUACCUCGGGGUAAUGACGGUACCUGAAGAAUAAGCACCGGCUAACUACGUGCCAGCCGCCGCGGUAAGAC